CAAUUAUGGAGAGUUUGAUCCUGGCUCAGGAUGAACGCUGGCGGCGUGCCUAAUACAUGCAAGUCGAACGCGAGAAGGAGGAGCUUGCUCCUCCGGAUCGAGUGGCGGACGGGUGAGUAACACGUAGGCAACCUGCCCAUCAGCCGGGGAUAACU
rnacentral:rRNA from 1 species